rnacentral:tRNA from 1 species
GCGGGGGUAGCUCAGUUGGGAGAGCGCGUGCUGUACAAGCGCGAGGCCGGAGGUUCGAGCCCUUCCCCCUGCA